AGCUCCAGUAGCGUAUAUUAAAGUUGUUGCAGUUAAAAAGCUCGUAGUCAGAUUUUGGAUUCUGUGAAUUGGUCUGGCUUUAUCGUCAGUAUUGAUUUGCGGGGUCUUUCUUUCUAGGGAAACUGUUUGCUUUUAAUUAAGUUGAGCAGUGAAUCUAGGACUUUUACUUUGAAAAAAUUAGAGUGUUUAAAGCAGGCAAUCGCUUGAAUACAUUAGCAUGGAAUAAUAGAAUAGGACUUUGGUUUUAUUUUGUUGGUUUUUAAGACCGAAGUAAUGAUUAAUAGGGACAGUUGGGGGGCAUUAGAAUCGACAUGUCAGAGGUGAAAUUCUUGAAUUUUGUCGCGUCUAACUUCUGCGAAAGCAUUUGCCAAGGAUGUUUUCA
rnacentral:rRNA from 1 species